UACGGGGGGAGCAAGCGUUGUUCGGAUUUACUGGGCGUAAAGGGCGCGUAGGCGGUCGUGACAAGUCACUUGUGAAAUCUCCGGGCUUAACUCGGAACGGUCAAGUGAUACUGUCGGACUAGAGUACAGAAGGGGCAACUGGAAUUCUCGGUGUAGCGGUGAAAUGCGUAGAUAUCGAGAGGAGCACCUGCGGCGAAGGCGGGUUGCUGGGCUGAUACUGACGCUGAGGAGCGAAAGCCAGGGGAGCAAACGGG
rnacentral:rRNA from 1 species